rnacentral:rRNA from 1 species
GCGGCGUGCUUAACACAUGCAAGUCGAACGGAAAGGCCCUGCUUUUGUGGGGUGCUCGAGUGGCGAACGGGUGAGUAACACGUGAGUAACCUGCCCUUGACUUUGGGAUAACUUCAGGAAACUGGGGCUAAUACCGGAUAGGAGCUCCUGCUGCAUGGUGGGGGUUGGAAAGUUUCGGCGGUUGGGGAUGGACUCGCGGCUUAUCAGCUUGUUGGUGGGGUAGUGGCUUACCAAGGCUUUGACGGGUAGCCGGCCUGAGAGGGUGACCGGCCACAUUGGGACUGAGAUACGGCCCAGACUCCUACGGGAGGCAGCAGUGGGGAAUAUUGCACAAUGGGCGGAAGCCUGAUGCAGCAACGCCGCGUGCGGGAUGACGGCCUUCGGGUUGUAAACCGCUUUCGCCUGUGACGAAGCGUGAGUGACGGUAAUGGGUAAAGAAGCACCGGCUAACUACGUGCCAGCAGCCGCGGUGAUACGUAGGGUGCGAGCGUUGUCCGGAUUUAUUGGGCGUAAAGGGCUCGUAGGUGGUUGAUCGCGUCGGAAGUGUAAUCUUGGGGCUUAACCCUGAGCGUGCUUUCGAUACGGGUUGACUUGAGGAAGGUAGGGGAGAAUGGAAUUCCUGGUGGAGCGGUGGAAUGCGCAGAUAUCAGGAGGAACACCAGUGGCGAAGGCGGUUCUCUGGGCCUUUCCUGACGCUGAGGAGCGAAAGCGUGGGGAGCGAACAGGCUUAGAUACCCUGGUAGUCCACGCUGUAAACGGUGGGUGCUAGGUGUGGGGUCCAUUCCACGGGUUCCGUGCCGUAGCUAACGCUUUAAGUACCCCGCCUGGGGAGUACGGCCGCAAGGCUAAAACUCAAAGGAAUUGACGGGGCCCCGCACAAGCGGCGGAGCAUGCGGAUUAAUUCGAUGCAACGCGUAGAACCUUACCUGGGUUUGACAUGGAUCGGGAGUGCUCAGAGAUGGGUGUGCCUCUUUUGGGGUCGGUUCACAGGUGGUGCAUGGCUGUCGUCAGCUCGUGUCGUGAGAUGUUGGGUUAAGUCCCGCAACGAGCGCAACCCUUGUUCACUGUUGCCAGCACGUUAUGGUGGGGACUCAGUGGAGACCGCCGGGGUCAACUCGGAGGAAGGUGGGGAUGACGUCAAGUCAUCAUGCCCCUUAUGUCCAGGGCUUCACGCAUGCUACAAUGGCUGGUACAGAGAGUGGCGAGCCUGUGAGGGUGAGCGAAUCUCGGAAAGCCGGUCUCAGUUCGGAUUGGGGUCUGCAACUCGACCUCAUGAAGUCGGAGUCGCUAGUAAUCGCAGAUCAGCAACGCUGCGGUGAAUACGUACCCGGGGCUUGUACACACCGCCCGUCAAGUCAUGAAAGUUGGUAACACCCGAAGCCGGUGGCCUAACCGUUGUGGGGGAGCCGUCGAAGGUGGGACUGGUGAUUAGG